UAAAUUACAGACGUCGUCCUUUGAAACACGCUAGCUCUUUUUUCUUUUGUUGAAACAUGCUAGCUCCUUCAGAGAGUUCGCUCUAGACCUAAAAAUUUUAGAUUUCCCCCAAGCUCGAAAACAUUCACUCCUCCUGAACUCUCGUGGCGCCCUCUCAACUCUCAAAUCUUCCUAAUUUUCCUCAUCUCUCUCCCUCCCUCAACUCUUGCCCUCGACCAGACCUCCAAGAGAGACUCCUCCGUCGAAAUCGAUAACCCAAUUUCGUCGUCACAUCUCUCUUCCCUCGGUAGUCUUUCGUUACUGGUACAAAACCUAGUGGUUUCGGUUUGAAACCCUGAAACGACGGCGUUAUAUGAGCGACUGCAGAGAAAAGUCACAGCACAAGGUAACAGUGGUUGUUUCAGACCUAGCGGCUGGCGCUGUAGUCCGAAGAUCAACCUUUUCAAUCUACCGUGCAAUUCAAAUGUUGUCGGCGUCAUAGUGGCAGUGGGAGACCGCCAUCGUCGGCGCCGUCACUGGGUUGCCACCAACACCGCGAUGCAUCCUCUGGACGUAAGUACGAGAUUUCAAUUCCACGAUGGUCAAGUAUCCAAUCUUCCAACUUACAAGAACACUGCUCAUGCCAUUUAUGCAAUUUCAUUUGUUUUUUUUAAUUCCGAUUUCACUUAUGGGUCUUGGAUUUAUGUUGACUUACGAAUUUUUGAAGUUUUCGUUUAUUUUCCUAUUAAUGACUUAGUUUUUCUGUGCAAUAAGGUUUCACAUUGGCUUGGAUUUUUUUGAAGCGACUUGGGAACAGGUGCUUGGGAAUCGAGUGAGGAACUCUGAAUUUGGGAACGACAGUAAAAAAAAAAAAAGAAUAAGAACAAGACUGUAAAUUUCGUCUUGUGUUAUUCACAGUGCUUACUCAUGUAGCUCAUGUCUAUGGGUGCCUGCUUAAACAGAUAAAAGAAUGCAAGUAUAGGCGGG